rnacentral:rRNA from 1 species
UACGAAGGGGGCUAGCGUUGCUCGGAAUCACUGGGCGUAAAGGGUGCGUAGGCGGGUCUUAAGUCAGGGGUGAAAUCCUGGAGCUCAACUCCAGAACUGCCUUUGAUACUGGCGAUCUCGAGUCCGGGAGAGGUGAGUGGAACUGCGAGUGUAGAGGUGAAAUUCGUAGAUAUUCGCAAGAACACCAGUGGCGAAGGCGGCUCACUGGCCCGGUACUGACGCUGAGGUGCGAAAGCGUGGGGAGCAAACAGGG